GUUUGGGCAGAUUUUGACAUUGUGGAGAGGCCCAGUGCACCAUCUGUUGUUACCCAGCGUGGGUACACACCGGCUGCGGAAGGUAUACCUGUUGAUGUCGUAAUGACUGAUCAGACUCCACUUCAUGGUCCAAAUUCAUUAAGAACACCCGUAAAUGUCAACAAUGUCGAGUCUGCCAUUGAGUCCUCCCAACUAACUGGGUUACGACCACCACUUCAAGCCUACAAAUGCAGCAUGUCAUAUGAAAGAAAAACAAGCACUUAAGAGGGAGAGGGAAAAUGCCCGGUAUGAGCAACAUGA